rnacentral:misc_RNA from 1 species
GUAUAAACUUUAUAGGCUGAGCCUAAUAAAACAUUCUUUUACAUACAUAGAGUAAAUAGAAAAACAUAGGCCUGAAAAUGUAAGGAAAGUGCUAGAGCACAGUCCUCUAAACCCAAGUUGCCUUGGAGAGUUAUUCAAGGUCUACAAAAUGUGCACAGGUGGAAAUAUAAAGAUGACAGGUUGAGCACAAUGUUCCCCAAAGGAAAACCAGCUACAAAAACCCAUCAGGUUUAUUUCAAUAAUGAUCCUUCCGCAGGUUCACCUACGGAAA